UCCCUGACUCCUUGAGAGUCCUGAAGGAACGUUGAAGACGACGACGUUGAUAGGUCGGGUGUGUAAGUGUAGCGAUACAUUGAGCUAACCGAUACUAAUGAACCGUGAGGCUUAACCUU
rnacentral:rRNA from 1 species